AGAGUUUGAUCCUGGCUCAGGAUGAACGCUAGCGGCAGGCUUAACACAUGCAAGUCGAGGGGCAGCAUUUAGUUGGCGACCGGCAAACGGGUGCGGAACGCGUACGCAACCUGCCCUUACCCGGGGUAUAGCCCGGAGAAAUCCGGAUUAAUCCCCCAUAACAUAACGAGGAGGCAUCUUUUUGUUAUUAAAGAAUUUCGGGUAAGGAUGAGCGUGCGUCCUAUUAGCUUGUUGGUAGGGUAACGGCCUACCAAGGCGACGAUAGGUAGCUGGUGUGAGAGCACGACCAGCCACACGGGCACUGAGACACGGGCCCGACUCCUACGGGAGGCAGCAGUGAGGAAUAUUGGUCAAUGGGCGCAAGCCUGAACCAGCCAUGCCGCGUGAAGGAUGAAGGCCUUCUGGGUUGUAAACUUCUUUUAUCUGGGAAGAAAACUACGGUUUCUACUGUAGCCGACGGUACCAGAGGAAUAAGCACCGGCUAACUCCGUGCCAGCCGCCGCGGUAAUUC
rnacentral:rRNA from 1 species